rnacentral:ncRNA from 1 species
UAGUCAGAUCCUUCUUCUUGUGUGUAUGCCCAUAUCAAUGGACACUCAGCUCCCUGCUCUGGGUUUCUUUUCAUAUGCAGGGUCAUAUCCUAAAACGCAAAAACUUAAAAAAUAGGAUCAGACGAUGGUAGUCGCCAUGGCUACCAUGGUGACCAUGGGUGACGGAGAAUCAGGGUUUGAUUCAAGAGAGGGAGUCUGAGAAAUGGCUACCACAUCCAAGGAAGGCAGCAGGCACGCAAAUUACCCACUCCCAACCCGGGGAGGUAGUGACGAAAAAUAACAAUACAGGACACUUUCGAGGCCCUGUAAUUGGAAUGAGUCCACUUUAAAUCCUUUAACGAGGAUAAAGAAAAAAAUAGGAUCAGAU